CAGGGGCCGCAAGGCUCCGGCAGACAGUUCCGUAAUACGUCGAUAAUCUGCCCUUAGGUUUGGGAUAACCAUGGGAAACUGUGGCUAACACCAGAUAGGGGAUUGAUACUGGAAUGUUCUUUCCCUUAAAGGUUACGCCUAAGGAUGAGUCGGCGCCCGAUUAGGUUGUUGGCGGGGUAAUGGCCCACCAAGCCGAAGAUCGGUAGGGGCCCUGAGAGGGGUAGCCCCGAGGAGGACACUGAGAUAAGGGUCCUGACUCUACGGAGUAUAGCAAGCGCGAAAACUUUACACUACACGAAAGUGUGAUAAGGGGAUUCUGAGUGCUCAUGCAACGCAUGAGCUUUUGCCGAGUGUAAAUAGCUCGGAGAAUAAGUGGUGGGCAAGACUGGUGCCAGCAGCCGCGGUAACACCAGCGCCACGAGUAGGGACCAUGUUUAUUGGGCCUAAAGCGUCCGUAGCCGGCUAUGUAAAUCUUCUGUGAAAUCGUCCAGCUCAACUGGGCGGCGAGCAGGGGACACUACAUGACUAGAGACCGGGAGGAGUCAGAGGUAUUCUUUGGGUAGCGGUAAAAUGCAAUAAUCCAAAGAGGACCACCUGUGGCGAAGGCGUCUGACCAGAACGGGUCUGACGGUGAGGGACGAAAGCCAGGGGAGCAAACCGGAUUAGAUACCCGAGUAGUCCUGGCCGUAAACGCUGUGUGCUAGGUGUUGCGUAUUCCACGAGAAUACGCAGUGUCGGAGCGAAGGCGUUAAGCACACCGCCUGGGUAGUACGGUCGCAAGGCUGAAACUUAAAGGAAUAGGCGGGGGAGCACAACAAGGGGUGCGGCGUGCGGUUUAAUCCAACUCAACACGGAGAAUCUCACCAGAAGCGACGGCAGGAUGAAAGUCAGGUUGAAGGCCUUACUUAACGAGCCGAGAGGUGGUGCAUGGCCGUCGUCAGCUCGUGCUGCGAAGUGUCCUGCUAAGCCAGGCAACGAGCGAGACCUGUAUCUAUAGUUGCUAACGGCCGAUUUAUCGGGACCGAGAACAUUAUAGAGACUGCUGUGGAAACACAGAGGAAGGUGCAGGCAACGGUAGGUCUGUAUGCCCCGAAUCUUCUGGGCUACACGCGCGCAACAAUGAUAAGGACAAAGGGAUGCAACUCCGUAAGGAGAAGCUAAACCUCUAAACCUAAUCUCAGUUCAGAUCGAGGGCUGUAACUCGCCCUCGUGACGUCGGAAUCCCUAGUAACCAGACUUUAGCAUAGUCCGGUGAAUAUGUCCCUGCUCCUUGCACUCACCGCCCGUCAAACCAACCGAGCAGGUCUAAGGUGAAACUUACCCAUUUAGGUGAGUUGAAUCUCAGGUCAGUGAGGUGGGUUAAGUCGUCACAAGGUA
rnacentral:rRNA from 1 species